AUCCAACUAACGAGUCCCAAAUAAGACGUGACGUGCGUUCUGGAU
rnacentral:hammerhead_ribozyme from 1 species